CUUGAGGGUUUCCAGUGCCGUUAAAGCGAUCAAAGCUCGUCAUUUUCCUUCGAAAUCUUUCAACGGCUUCCCGACUCCUUUCUUUUCUUUCGGCCUACCCCCGCUCUCUUAAGGCCUUUCCUUCGCUCUGCCGAGCUUACUACUUAUCUUUUUCCUCCGUCAGACUCUGUGGAAGCCUUCCCUUCUACCCCGUCUGGUAUUCAAUUCACUAGCUUCGGCCACUUUCACUCCCGUUCUUAAAGAGUCAAAGCACCUGAAUUAAUAGUAUAAGGAGGAUGGCAUUAAGCAUAUAAAUGAGAUUGAUGCUUCGAAUGCCCUGAG
rnacentral:misc_RNA from 1 species